GCCACUAGAAUUUGAAGAACUCAAAGAAGCCAAAUUCAUCUAAUGUUUUUGAUGAGGGUUCUGUCACUGUGGAACAACUUUGAGAAAGUCUUCGGUAGUGGAACCAAACUUGUUGUCACAGAUAAAAGCUUUAAUGCAGACAUUUACCCCAAGCCCACGAUUUUUCUUCCUUCGGUUGCUGAAACAAAUCUCCAUAAUGCUGGGACAUAUCUUUGUCUUCUGGAGAACUUUUUCCCUGAUGUUAUUAAGGUAUAUUGGAAAGAAAAAGGAGGUGAUAGGAUUCUGGAAUCCUUUCAGGGAAAUACCAUGAAGACUAACAACAGAUACAUGAAGAUGAGUUGGCUAACCGUGACUGGAGAGUCAAUGGAUAAAGAGCACAGGUGUAUUGUCAAACACGAGAAUAAUAAAAGAGGAGUUGAUCAAGAGAUUCUCUUUCCUGCAAUAAGGAAAGUUGUCACCACUAUGAAUCCCAGAGAAGCCGAUUUGAAAGUUACAACUGCUGUCACCACUAUUAAUGCCAGAAAAGCUGAUCUGAAAUGUGAAAAUGUUGUCAAUACUACUGAAUCUGAAGCUUAUUCAAAAGUUUACUUUCUUGGUGUAGAGAGUGACACAAGACCAGUGUACAUGAAGCUGUUGGCAAAGAUACACAAAGAUGAGGGCAGUGGCAAUAUGCUUCAAGAACUCAGAGAUACAGAACCAUGGAGUUCAACUGUAUAA